UCAUCAGCCCCUCGGUCAACUGCUCCACUCCAUCCCUCGUUUUGGUAGAGGGAGGUUGAGUCUUGGUUGCCGAGGUGGGGCCCUCUUUGUGGCUGUCUCGGGACAAGGAACAAGAUGCGAUGUUCCGCGGUCACUGGUCUAUUAAAAGCAUUGGGCUUGUGCUUGAAGCAAUUAGGAAAACAUUCAACCCUGGGGAUCAACAGGCUUCUGUGAACUUUGUCGUCCUGGGGAAGCCUUGGGCCUCUCUGCUGGAUGCAGAGCGAGUCCACAGACACUAGGAGAACGGAGGGCUCUGACCUGGCCGAGGGUGUGGACAUCCCCUCCCUGGGGAAGUGACACGCUCCGUUUUCUACACUCUUACUCUAAUGUGGGCUCCAACUGCACCAAAGAAAUGUAAAGAGAACUCACUCAGGCCACUGGUAAUUUGUUUUCACCACAACAAAUUGCUUAUUGACAUACUACCCUCCCCCACAAAAGAAGAAGUCGGCAGAAUCCACCAGCGGAUUUGAAUUCAGGUAUGCUGGAUGGUUGGGGAGAAAAAGGUCACUGAUUAAUGGGUUGGGAGCACAGAGUCAGUUUUAUGUUUGUUUUGCUUUUUGUUGUUUUGUUCGUUUGGGUUUUUCUUUCUUUCUUUUUUUCUUUUUGAAUCAACACUGAGUUUUAACGGUCAGACAAGCAUUGGGAGAUGUCGAUGUUUUUUACAAAUCAGACCGAUCCACAGAAAGCUCCUUUCACUGGUGUGCUCAGAGAGCCCUUCAUUCUGAAGACUCAGCACCACUUGGAAAACAAUCUGAAUGAAUGUGUCUCAGUGUGGGAGGCUGGGAAGUCGAGCCGGGACAGAGCUGGGCGGUUGGUGUUUAUCUUACUGCUCUCUUGAAGGGUGGUAGCCCUGAAGACAUCAGUCCCAGCCUUUCUCCCCCUGGGUUUUCCUGGGCGGAAACUGGGCUUGUGAAAAUGCUGGUGGUAAGGCCUCUGCGUGUCAGUGAGAACACCAACCCAGGAGGCAUGAUGUGAGCUGAAGUCUGGAGCAAACUCAUCCUGUAUUCCGCCAGCUCCUGCCGCCCACAUGCUGGGGGCAAUGACAGCAAGCCACAACCGCAGACCUCGUGCCGUCCCAGCCUGGAAUUCCCUGCCGGGAGCAGACGGUGCUUUCCACAGAGAUGAGACCAAGAGACCCACGGGACAGGCCUGCCCUGCCUGCCUCCACUGGGCCAAUCCCUUUGGAAUAGCCUGGAUUUUGUUGGUAUUUUGGAAUCUCUUUUGUUGAGGUCCCAAAUCUGUUUUAAUCUUUGUUCAGGAAUCUAAUUCAGAAAUUCAGACUUUCGUGUCUGCCAAGAGGUGGGUUUGGCUAUGAGAGGAAAACAGGAAAAGGCUUAAAAGUUAAUAAAGCUGGAAGAAAACAGCUUCUAUGUUAGCAGUCCAACAUCCAGAGCCUGCGCCCCUCCCCCAGCCCCAGCUGCCUUCGGAUGGGACAAGGACUCUCCCUGCACUGGAGCAGCGUGUUAAAGUAACAGCGGGGAGCUGCAAUACAGAGGAUUUGUUCUUUCAUUCAACAACUAUCCAGUGAACGUGGACCGUGUGCCAGGCAGUGUCCUAGGCUCCAGGGACGUGGCAGGGAAGAAGGCAUCCAGGUGACUGUUUCUGAGCCUCUGACAUUCUGUCAGGGGAUAGAUGAUAGGGACAGAAACAAAUAAGAAAGGUUUGACGUGGCCUGUUGGGUAUGCUUUCUACAUCUGCUUGAAACAGUCACAAGGUCCCAAAGCCAAGAACGAUGCCCCUAAAGAUGAGGAUGUUGCCUUCCCCACAUCAGCAUUUCUUUAAGGACAAGCCUUUCUUCCCAGAAACUAAGAAUUAAUGACUGACCUGCGUUAACUCACCUUGUGACCGCUGACCUGCUGACCACCGACCUGCUGUGCUCACCUUGUGACCACUGACCUCCUGUGCUAGCAAGGCAUCUUGUGACGGUAGCAAAAGAGAUA
rnacentral:lncRNA from 1 species